rnacentral:rRNA from 1 species
AUACGUAGGUGACAAGCGUUAUCCGGAUUUACUGGGCGUAAAGGGCGUGUAGGCGGUCUUGCAAGUCAGAAGUGAAAUUCCUGAGCUCAACUCGGGCGCUGCUUCUGAAACUGCAGGACUUGAGUGCUGGAGGGGAUAGCGGAAUUCCUAGUGGAGCGGUAAAAUGCGCAGAUAUUAGGAAGAACACCGGUGGCGAAGGCGCCUAUCUGGACAGUAACUGUCGUUGAGGCGCGAACGCGUGGGGUCCAAACAGGAUGUGUUACCUGGGUUGUCCACGCCGUAAACGAUGAAUACUAGGUGUAGGGGGUAUCGACUCCCUCUGUGCCGCAGUUAACACAAUAAGUAUUCCGCCUGGGGAGUACGGCCGCAAGGUUGAAACUCAAAUGAAUUGACGGGG